rnacentral:lncRNA from 1 species
UCACACACACUAAUUACUACACACACACACACACACACACACACACACACACACACACACACACAGAGACACACUCACCAUUCUCACCUAUCGCCCUUUCUCUCUUCUCUCUUUCUCUCUCGAACUCAACCGCUCUCACCCUCCUCAAUUUCUUCUCAAUCACUCCUCUCAAUUUCUUUCUCUCUCAAACUCAAUCACUCCUCCCUCAAUCGAGACUAAGCCACUGUCACUCAAUUAGGGUUCGUCGAUUUGGGGGUUCAUCCAUUUGGCUCCUCACUCGAUUUCUUCCAAUUUGGUUCGAGGUUUGUACUCUUCUCCUUUCUCCAAUUAGGUUUCUGGGUUGGUUAGUUCAAUUUCUUCCAAUUUGGUUCAAGGUUGGAGUCAGUAGAAGAGGCUGGGCUUGGCACAGCGGAGGAGGGGGUUGGGGGUCGGACUGUUUGGCGCGAUUUCUGCUUCCCUGGGCAGCUUCCUAAGGGAAGGAUAGGGGAACACACAAGCUCUACACAGCUUGGUGAGUGGUUCUUCGUUUUGUCAUGUUUUGAGUUUUCUAGUUUCUUCUGCCGCUGUCGGCGAUGGUGGUUCAUUUGAAAGACUUGUUAAGACAGUUCUGAUAUGGCUAAAUGGCAAGGAGGAGCUGAAGGGAACAAAGAAUCAAAGGUCCAAGUUCAACCUCUGUUCAACUUUAAGGUGGGUAAUAUCAGUAAAUUUUCAAAGAAAAACUGGAACUCUAACUGAACUUCAAAAAAUCAUUAGUAAUUGUAGAAAAUUCCUUUUUGUGCGAUUCCAGUUCCAGAUUGAUCUUUAGGUUGUCUUUUACAAUUGUUAUGAAGAGACCAACAUGAAAUUCUUAGCCGAGCUAUACUGUUUUUAGCCAAAAAGGUCUGCUGGUCAGGAAGUUAGCAGGCAUACAUUUUCUGAUUUUGUUCCUUUGCUCUUAGUCUCAAUGUUUGCCAAUGAUUCUUGCUUGAUUUGGUAUGAUAUUAUACAUAUGUAGAGAUUAGAU